rnacentral:rRNA from 1 species
GUUGAACGCUGGCGGCAGGCCUAACACAUGCAAGUCGAACGGUAACAGGAAGCAGCUUGCUGCUUCGCUGACGAGUGGCGGACGGGUGAGUAAUGUCUGGGAAGCUGCCUGAUGGAGGGGGAUAACUACUGGAAACGGUAGCUAAUACCGCAUAAUGUCGCAAGACCAAAGAGGGGGACCUUCGGGCCUCUUGCCAUCGGAUGUGCCCAGAUGGGAUUAGCUUGUUGGUGGGGUAACGGCUCACCAAGGCGACGAUCCCUAGCUGGUCUGAGAGGAUGACCAGCCACACUGGAACUGAGACACGGUCCAGACUCCUACGGGAGGCAGCAGUGGGGAAUAUUGCACAAUGGGCGCAAGCCUGAUGCAGCCAUGCCGCGUGUAUGAAGAAGGCCUUCGGGUUGUAAAGUACUUUCAGCGGGGAGGAAGGGAGUAAAGUUAAUACCUUUGCUCAUUGACGUUACCCGCAGAAGAAGCACCGGCUAACUCCGUG